rnacentral:rRNA from 1 species
GAGUUUGAUCAUGGCUCAAGACGAACGCUGGCGGCGUGCUUAACACAUGCAAGUCGAACGAAGAGCGAUGGAAGCUCGCUUCUAUCAAUCUUAGUGGCGAACGGGUGAGUAACGCGUAAUCAACCUGCCCUUCAGAGGGGGACAACAGUUGGAAACGACUGCUAAUACCGCAUACGAUCUAACCUCGGCAUCGAGGAUAGAUGAAAGGUGGCCUCUACAUGUAAGCUAUCACUGAAGGAGGGGAUUGCGUCUGAUUAGCUAGUUGGAGGGGUAACGGCCCACCAAGGCGAUGAUCAGUAGCCGGUCUGAGAGGAUGAACGGCCACAUUGGGACUGAGGCACGGCCCAGACUCCUACGGGAGGCAGCAGUGGGGAAUCUUCCGCAAUGGACGAAAGUCUGACGGAGCAACGCCGCGUGAGUGAUGACGGCCUUCGGGUUGUAAAGCUCUGUUAAUCGGGACGAAAGGCCUUCUUGCGAAUAGUUAGAAGGAUUGACGGUACCGGAAUAGAAAGCCACGGCUAACUACGUGCCAGCAGCCGCGGUAAUACGUAGGUGGCAAGCGUUGUCCGGAAUUAUUGGGCGUAAAGCGCGCGCAGGCGGAUAGGUCAGUCUGUCUUAAAAGUUCGGGGCUUAACCCCGUGAUGGGAUGGAAACUGCCAAUCUAGAGUAUCGGAGAGGAAAGUGGAAUUCCUAGUGUAGCGGUGAAAUGCGUAGAUAUUAGGAAGAACACCAGUGGCGAAGGCGACUUUCUGGACGAAAACUGACGCUGAGGCGCGAAAGCCAGGGGAGCGAACGGGAUUAGAUACCCCGGUAGUCCUGGCCGUAAACGAUGGGUACUAGGUGUAGGAGGUAUCGACCCCUUCUGUGCCGGAGUUAACGCAAUAAGUACCCCGCCUGGGGAGUACGACCGCAAGGUUGAAACUCAAAGGAAUUGACGGGGGCCCGCACAAGCGGUGGAGUAUGUGGUUUAAUUCGACGCAACGCGAAGAACCUUACCAGGUCUUGACAUUGAUGGACAGAACCAGAGAUGGUUCCUCUUCUUCGGAAGCCAGAAAACAGGUGGUGCACGGUUGUCGUCAGCUCGUGUCGUGAGAUGUUGGGUUAAGUCCCGCAACGAGCGCAACCCCUAUCUUAUGUUGCCAGCACGUAAAGGUGGGAACUCAUGAGAGACUGCCGCAGACAAUGCGGAGGAAGGCGGGGAUGACGUCAAAUCAUCAUGCCCCUUAUGACCUGGGCUACACACGUACUACAAUGGGAGUUAAUAGACGGAAGCGAGAUCGCGAGAUGGAGCAAACCCGAGAAACGCUCUCUCUGUUCGGAAUCGUAGGCCGCGAACUCGCCUACGUAAAGUUCGGAAUCGCUAGUGAAUCGCGGGUUCAGCGUUACUGCGGUAAAUACGUUUCCCGGGCCUU